rnacentral:rRNA from 1 species
UACGGGGGGGGCAAGCGUUGUUCGGAAUUACUGGGCGUAAAGGGCCAGUAGGCGGCCAACUAAGUCGGAUGUGAAAUCCCCAGGCUUAACCUGGGAACUGCAUCCGAUACUGGAUGGCUUGAAUUCGGGAGAGGGAUGCAGAAUUCCAGGUGUAGCGGUGAAAUGCGUAGAUAUCUGGAGGAAUACCGGUGGCGAAGGCGGCAUCCUGGACCGACAUUGACGCUGAACGGCGAAAGCUAGGGGAGCAAACGGGAGU